UGGUUUAAUUCGAUGAUACGCGAGGAACCUUACCAGGGCUUAAAUGUAGAGUGACAGGUCUAGAGAUAGACUUUUCUUCGGACACUUUACAAGGUGCUGCAUGGUUGUCGUCAGCUCGUGCCGUGAGGUGUUGGGUUAAGUCCCGCAACGAGCGCAACCCUCGUCGUUAGUUGCCAGCACGUCUGGGUGGGCACUCUAACGAGACUGCCGGUGUCAAACCGGAGGAAGGUGAACAUGA
rnacentral:rRNA from 1 species